rnacentral:rRNA from 1 species
CAGAGGGUGCGAGGCGUUGUUCGGAAUACUGGGCGUAAAGCGCGCGCAGGCGGCUUCUUAAGUCUGGCGGUCAAAUGCCGGGGCUCAACCCCGAGCGUGCCGCGGAUACUGGGAGGCUGGAGACGAGUAGAGGCAAGCGGAAUUCCGGGUGUAGCGGUGGAAUGCGUAGAGAUCCGGAAGAACACCGGAGGCGAAGGCGGCUUGCUGGGCUCGGUCUGACGCUGAGGCGCGAAAGCGUGGGGAGCGAACAGGAUUAGAUACCCUGGUAGUCCACGCCGUAAACGAUGGGCACUAGACGCGGGGGGGAUCGACCCUCUCCGUGUCGCAGCUAACGCGAUAAGUGCCCCGCCUGGGGAGUACGGCCGCAAGGCUG